rnacentral:rRNA from 1 species
AUUGAACGCUGGCGGCAGGCCUAACACAUGCAAGUCGAGCGGAUGAAGGGAGCUUGCUCCUGGAUUCAGCGGCGGACGGGUGAGUAAUGCCUAGGAAUCUGCCUGGUAGUGGGGGAUAACGUCCGGAAACGGGCGCUAAUACCGCAUACGUCCUGAGGGAGAAAGUGGGGGAUCUUCGGACCUCACGCUAUCAGAUGAGCCUAGGUCGGAUUAGCUAGUUGGUGGGGUAAAGGCCUACCAAGGCGACGAUCCGUAACUGGUCUGAGAGGAUGAUCAGUCACAUUGGAGCUGAGACGCGGUCCAGACUCCUACGGGAGGCAGCAGUGGGGAAUAUUGGACAAUGGGCGAAAGCCUGAUACAGCCAUGCCGCGUGUGUGAAGAAGGUCUUCGGAUUGUAAAGACCUUUAAGUUGGGAGGAAGGGCAGUAAGUUAAUACCUUGCUGUUUUGACGUUACCAACAGAAUAAGCACCGGCUAACUUCGUG